rnacentral:rRNA from 1 species
AUGAUUUUUUAAUGGCUGCGGUAAUUUGACCGUACAAAGGUAGCAUAGUAAUUAGUCUUUUAAUUGAAGUCUGGAAUGAAUGAUUGGAUGAGAAAUUUACUUUCUUUAAUUUUUUAUUUUAAUUUAAUUUUUAAGUGAAAAAGCUUAAAUUUUUUUUUGGGACGAUAAGACCCUAUAGAUCUUUAUUUAAUUUUUUUUCAUAAAUUUUUGGUUUUUUUAAUUUAUUUAUUUUUAUUUAAAUUUGGUUGGGGUGACAGUAAAAUUUUUUUGUCUUUUAUUUUUUUUUUCAUUAAUUUAUGAUUUUAUUGAUCUUUUUUUAUUGAUUUAAAGAUAAAGUUACCUUAGGGAUAACAGCGUGAUUUAUUUUUAGAGUUCUUAUCGAUGAAUAAGUUUGCGACCUCGAUGUUGGAUUAAGAUUAGGGGGGGG